CCUCUUUCUCUUCACAAAUUCAACUCACAAACUCCCCAAUUCCAUUUCAAAUCCCCAACUCCCAAUUCACUUCUUCUUCUCAAAUUCAUAAUUCUCAAAUCUAAACUCAACGGCACCUCUUCUCUCUCUCACCGAUUUCUUCCGUCGCAACAGUCAACCGUCAGCUCUGGAACGACGACGAGCUGGUGUCGUCGCUGUCACGCGGCCAGCUCCGCCGCCUUUUCUCCCUACUACCGGAGCAACAUCUGCUUCGACGGUGGUUCACGGCGUCUGGUCGACGCCGGCCCGUUCAUCCGUUCAUCGGCUCACCGUUGCCUCGCAUUCAGCGCUGCCCGGAAAAAGGAGGCAUCGCCUCCCUCCGUUUUCUCUCUCGGCUACUACACAGCGGUGCAGUACUGUUGCCCUUUCCGCCGUUGCCGCGCUGCUGAGACCUCGCCGGCAGCCUCCGCCGGCGUGCUUGAUGCCGCCACCGCUCGUGAGCCACGCCGCUUCGUCGGGCAGUAGCUAAGUGCUUAACCUCUCUUCCUUAGUUUCCUUUAUUUUCUUAAGUUAAGGGGUGAGUUGGGAGGCAGUAGUACACUUAUUUGGAUUGGGGUUUGCUUAUUAUGUAAAGUUAGCACCUUUCUUUUGAACUCACUGUCUGCUGUCAAAAGUUGCAGUGGUAUAUCUGUUGUGAUGUUGAGGGAGCUUUAAGUUUCAUUCUAAAAUGAGCAUGCUUGGGCAGAUUGUGGUUUAAGUUUUAUACUUCUACGGAUAAAACAUGAAAGGUGUGGACUGUGGAGGGAAGAGGAGAGUGCAGGCUGCCUUUGCCUCUUUUGGCAUGCUGUCUUUCUAUCAAACUUGUGAUGGGAAGAAAAGCUGCUCAUAAGUUGACUGAUUUUGAACAUAAGCUGCUCAUAAGUUGACUGAUUUUGAACAUAGGGGGAGCUAAGGGUUUGGGCCUAAAGAGGAAACCCAAGAAUGCAACUAUACAGCAAUAUAAUUCCUUAAGCUCUUGGCCCACACUUGUGAAUUUUGUAAUAGCAUCCAUAAAUCCUUUUUCUUAAACUCAUAAAUCCACAUGUAUUUAACCAUGUAAGUUAAUGGAUUGUUUUAGAUGUAUGCGAACACUUUCUCGCUUGGGAAUGAGAUCUUCGUAUUCUUUCUUGGCG